AUAGCCACCGCGGGAGAGUUCCCCCUAUCGAAGGAGGGACGCCGAAGGUGCAACUUCUCCCCAGAAUCUCUCAGGCCCUGUACCGCGUUGGUGAG
rnacentral:ncRNA from 1 species